UACGUAGGGUGCAAGCGUUAAUCGGAAUUACUGGGCGUAAAGCGUGCGCAGGCGGUGUUGUAAGUCUGUCGUGAAAGCCCCGGGCUCAACCUGGGAAUUGCGAUGGAGACUGCAAGGCUUGAAUCUGGCAGAGGGGGGUAGAAUUCCACGUGUAGCAGUGAAAUGCGUAGAGAUGUGGAGGAACACCGAUGGCGAAGGCAG
rnacentral:rRNA from 1 species